rnacentral:rRNA from 1 species
GAUGAACGUUGGCGGUGCGUCUAAUACAUGCAAGUCGAGCGAGGCUUCGAGCCGAGCGGCGGACGGCUGAGUAACACGUUGGUAGCUACCCCGAACUCAGGGAUAACACAAAGAAAUUUGUGCUAAUACCGGAUGGUCCCGAAAGGGUAAAGAUUUUCGGUUCGGGAGGUGCCUGCGGCCUAUCAGCUAGUUGGUGAGGUAAUAGCUCACCAAGGCUAUGACGGGUAACUGGUCUGAGAGGAUGAUCAGUCAGAGGGAAACUGAGACACGGUUCCC